UUUAAAUGCCAUAAUAGGGCUUGGGCGCCAAGUUGCAUUCUGGGACGUGGCGGCCAUGUUGCCAGCUUCGCGAAUGUAAACAUACAGCCAGUUGAACGAGAAGAGCAGAGUUGGUAGAAAGAAAAAAAGAUGUCAAAACCGCGAAAAGGUUGUGGGAUUUAUAGGGAUACGCUAAAUGGGGGUGCCAGGGACCGGUAUGUGGACAAAAUCGGCUAUAUUAACGGUUUGGAUCCAUAUGAAAUUCCCAACAAAUAGUGGAGUACCGACGCAUUACAGAUAUCUUCGGCUAACUUACCUUGUUUGUUUUGUGAGCGCCUACACUUCAAAAUAGUUCCAAAGCUACAAGUCAAGUCUCAUGUACAGUUCACAAAUGGAUGGGUUCAGGAGCUGCAAAUCAUAGAAACGGAACAGCGGCAAAACAGUAUACGGUAAUCCGGAAAUGACAUCAGAAGGCUACCAUUUCCUCUUCAGUUCUUUGUAUGGUGUAGAAAAGAGACCACUGUUUCUACACUGUUUGUGCCCUUGCCUUGGUACCCAAGAAGAUCCUCAGUCAGAUACAGGUAAAUAUUUGACACAUUAACAACACUGUGACGAGUGGGGCGGGGCCGAAAGUCAUGGGAACAGACCAGGCCGGUGGAGUGAUUGGAAAUGAGCGACACCUGCUCGACCCACCGGUCUCGAGUCCCACGGAGGAGAUGGAAGGAUCUAAAACAGGAGCGACGAGAGAGGACUAGGCCUGGGCUUUAGUUUGUGUUUUGAUUUUGUUUGUGCGCAGCAGUCGUCCGUGAGGGGCUGCCGCGCUGUUUUGUGUUUAUUUUAUUAUUAAAGCUCUCAUUUUGAUUGUACGCCGGUUCCCGUCUCUUUC